rnacentral:rRNA from 1 species
AUUGAACGCUGGCGGCGGGCUUAACACAUGCAAGUCGAGCGGGGACAUCGGUCCUAGCGCCGAACGGGUGAGGAAUGCUUGGGAAUCUGCCUGGUAGUGGGGGAUAACGUCUAGAAAGGAACGCUAAUACCGCAUACGUCCUACGGGCGAAAGGGGGGGAUCUCGUGACCUCCUGCUAUCAGAUGAGCUCAAGUCGGAUUAGAUAGUUGGUGAGGUAAAGGCUCACCAAGGCGACGAUCCGUAGCUGGUCUGAGACGAUUAGCAGCCACACUUGAACUGAGACACGGUCCAUACUCCUACGGGAGGCAGAAGUGGGGAAUAUUGGACAAUGUGCGGACGCCUGAUCCAGCCAUGCUGCGUGUGUGAAGCAGGCCUUCGGGUUGUAAAGCACUUUAAGCGAGGAGGAAUGGCUCUGGGUUAAUACCCUUGAGCAGUGACGUUACUCGCAGAAUAAGCACCGGCUAACUCUGUGCCAGCCGCCGCGGUAACAC